GCGAAUGGCGUGUGGGGGCCAUGCCUGUGGUGAUGGCUGUCCCACAGUGCUAUAAACACCUGUGCUGUCUUCAGGACUCGAAACACAUGGCGUGGAUCAGGUCUUUGGUGCUUGGGUUGUGGUUUAGCUGUGCGUUGCAGCCCUCGUGAUUACGGUGUGGUACCUCUGUUAGGCGGGUUUGGGCCGGCAUUGCUCUGGCAGGGCAGAGCCACAAGGAACACAGUGGAGCUCUCAGGAGUACAGCAGAGGAGACAGAAGAGAUGAGGGCCCUGCCAACAUUCAUGCCAGAUUGGUAAGACCAGAGGAAGAAAUGGAGAUGCACACAGAUGUGGGUGUGGACUCCAAACAAUUAGAGAGAAAAGCCUACCAGCGCUGGGCUGCGGCAUUGAAAGAAGUCACAGAAGAAGAGGAAUGGAUUUAAAAUAAUGGACUUGCUUAACUGAGACUGUUGAAUGGAGAGAAAUUACAAGUUUAUGGCUGUUUUAAUGUUUUAAAGUAAUGGUUUAUUCCUAUCCCCAUGUUGUAAUGGUUUGUUCCCACAAGAGUUCCACUUCGUACUUAUGCAUAUUCUAUUGUGAUCCCUCCCCUUUAUACUCUGUACCCGAUCGUUGUUCCUCUUUCCCAAAACUCCUCCCCUUAUUCACCAUAGUCUGGAAAGUUCUCCCAGCUCCCCUAUAAAAGGGGGAGCCAUGUUAAUGAAGUGAGUCAGUCUUUUCCAGUCUGCAGCCUGUGUUGAACCGUGAGUGAACUUCCCCGUGUCCAUAUCCGGGCCGCGUUACACAGAUGCUGUUAGUCAUCAGGGUUUGUGUAUUUUAAUAUGCACAAUUCACUUUCACAGGGGACAGUAAACACUGCAGGGCCAGAACUCUGACCUGUGAGGUCUCUCUAGGCUGCAUCCCACCGAGUUUGGUGGUAUUUUAACAGGUGUUGGGAGUGUGGUUGAGAACAGAAUGUGACCCACUCUCAUAUAAUCACAGAGCAGUUCAAUGUUAUGUGAAGGACGACCCUUAACAUUGCCUGAUUUGAGGUGGCACCCCUGUUUUGUACCCACGGGUGUGCAGCAGCUUGUGCUUGGAAAUCGAAACACUAAAUCAGAGAGUGUUUUUUGUAGGAACUGCAGGUGGCAGUAGGGGCUAAGUUUUACUGAAAAAAUGUUAUAAUUGCUGUCCUUCACAGUAGCUUACCAUAUGGCAAAAACUUGAAUCUCUGCAAGAGCCUUCUCUUAAAGGCAACACUCCAUGUUUUUAAGGACUUGUCAGCUCAUUUUAAGGGGCAAUGUUUUCACUAAGUGUAAUGACACUUUCUGCACCCUUUGGAAUGCUGUGUACUGCUUUCCCCCAAGGUGAGGGGAAAAUGCUCAUUGAACUCUGAUUUUAUUUACUGCGUUCCGACUGGAUAAGUGACUUAAGUGGUGUAUUACUUACAUUUACCACAAUCAAAAUCGGGUCCGUUUGAGUUUAAGAAGUGGCUCAGUUGCUCAAAGUUAACCCUGGGACUUUGAAGUCCUAUGAAGACCUUGAACAGAUCUGAAUGAACUUAAGUACAGGACAUUUUACCGUUCUCAGUUUGGUUUCUGGUCACUGAGAAGACCUUAAUUCAAUGACUAGCCAAGAGAUAAUGAACUAAUUGUUGUACCCCAUGCUCUAUGUAUUUUUGACUUAGAAGUUACCUGUCAUCAAGUGCUCUCUACUUGAGGAUACACACAUUUAUAUGUCUGGUUCAGUCAGAAUAAAGACUGUACUUAAGUUUAGUGCAUACCAUGGGGAACUUGAGAGAGACAAGACACUAAAAUAAAGGUGGACUUGUGUUGUUAAGACA